CCAGAGCAGGAAGAGCAGAGGUUCUGGGAAACAACCCCAAGGAGAGAGACAGGGCAUUUGUGAGCUGUGCAGCCUCCCUGCUGGGACAUAGGGAACUCUAGCUGGAGAUGAGCAGGGCCUGAGUCUGAGGGUGGCCCUGCUGAAAGCACAGUAAUAGGAGUUAUAAUCAGCUAAGAGCAGGAAAUCUACUUUAUUUUUCUAAUGUUAUUCUUUGCUUUCUAGAUAAAACAGCAUGUAAGCAUCUCUGCAGUUGCUGUCCCCAGAGCCCACUUCCUGGAUAUUGCCAGCUGCCUGGACCAACCUUUCCGAAAGAUCAGCCAGGUCACAGUGAGGGUCAAAGCAGGAGGCCACUGGAGGCUCCAAGGGCUCUGAAAUGUUGAGAACUUCCCUGCAGGUACCAGCGAAGAGGGCAAGAACACAGCACUACUUCCUUGGAUACUGUUUCCCUCCUCAGAGGGGUUUUCUGAGCUGCCCUGGGUCCUGUGAGGAAGAUCUCCCCUUCCUGUAAAGACACCAGUCCUACUGGAUCAGGGCCCACCCGUGUGACUUCACUUUUACUUGAGUACCUCUCACAGACCCUAACUCCAAAUCAGGUCACUUGCUGAGGUACUGCAUGUGAAGACUUUGACAUUUGAAUUUUGAGGGGGCCACCGUUUAACCUGAACCACCAAGGACAGAGCCAAAGACCCUGGGUGACAGGCCCAGAACAGGACCUGGUGGAGGCUCUUCUUUAGGGGAGAGAGGGAAAUGGGAGCCACCACUGGCAGAGCCUGAAGGCAGGGCAGCCAGAAAGAAGCUGUGGGAGUCCCCACCAUGGAAGACCCUGCCGAGCAUCCUGUGUCUCCUGAAGCAGACCCUGACAUGAGGACUGGGGGCACGUGUUUAUUAAGGGCGAUCCCCGGAAGGAGGAGAUAACCAGAAGUCCUAGCAGAGUAUGCCCACGCUGGUUAGUGCUGCUGCAAAGAUGAGCCGAAGACCAUGAGAGACCUCCAGGUGGUCCUUCUGGGGAGAAGAAAUGGGUUUUGGCCCCAAAUCCUUCUGCUGCAUUUUUCCCCUAUCCCUGGGAAGCCAUGAGACCUCAAACCUGUGUUCCCAAGGAGGCGAGCUGCUGUUCCCAGGUGAUGAUAUGAUGUGCUUGGGGAAAGUAAGUGGCUGCCAGACAUGGCUGAGAGCUGUUGUCACUGCCGUCAAGUGCAUGUCUCCAAGCCAUAUCACACGGCGUCCCUCGAUGUGAGGCCACAUGGCAAGUGGGCCGUGGAUCUCCCUCUGCCCUUUGCAAGCACGUAAGACAGCAGAUUUUGCAGAUACCUUGUGGCGCAGGGGAAUUUCCUUUGGCCAGGUCUGAAGAAAUAAAGCAGCAGGCACCGAGAACAAAGCCAAGGCUUUCAAAAGACAAGGAGCCAAAAAACUUACUCAAAAUAAAAGUAGUUUUAAAAUG
rnacentral:lncRNA from 1 species